GUCCUGGUUGACCUUUAUGGCCCUAACAAAAGGACAAAUGAGGAAAAUAUGAUCCAGAGAGUGAAACAAUUUAACCAAGACUAUACAUAUAGCUAACAGGAACAUGCACUACUAGAACAAAGGUCAAUCUGACCUCCAAUCUAUUUUACAUCUUUUUAUUUUAUAGCACUGGAGACACUGAGAUUACUGUGCAAGAUCAAAGAAAUAAAUCUUGGGGCUGUCUGGA